rnacentral:rRNA from 1 species
CCUACGGGUGGCAGCAGUGGGGAAUAUUGGACAAUGGGCGAAAGCCUGAUCCAGCCAUGCCGCGUGUGUGAAGAAGGCCUUCGGGUUGUAAAGCACUUUCAGUGGGGAAGAAAGCCUUGGGGCUAAUACCCUCGAGGAAGGACAUCACCCACAGAAGAAGCACCGGCUAACUCCGUGCCAGCAGCCGCGGUAAUACGGAGGGUGCGAGCGUUAAUCGGAAUUACUGGGCGUAAAGCGCGCGUAGGCGGUCUGAUAAGCCGGUUGUGAAAGCCCCGGGCUCAACCUGGGAACGGCAUCUGGAACUGUCAGGCUAGAGUGCAGGAGAGGAAGGUAGAAUUCCCGGUGUAGCGGUGAAAUGCGUAGAGAUCGGGAGGAAUACCAGUGGCGAAGGCGGCCUUCUGGACUGACACUGACGCUGAGGUGCGAAAGCGUGGGUAGCAAACAGGAUUAGAUACCCGUGUAGUC